rnacentral:tRNA from 1 species
ACAUUAGUGGUUCAAUGGUAGGAUUCUUGUCUUCCACGCAGAAGGGUUUGGGUUCAAUUCCUACCCAAUGUG